rnacentral:rRNA from 1 species
GACGAACGCUGGCGGCGUGCUUAACACAUGCAAGUCGAACGGAAAGGCCCUGCUUUUGUGGGGUGCUCGAGUGGCGAACGGGUGAGUAACACGUGAGUAACCUGCCCUUGACUUUGGGAUAACUUCAGGAAACUGGGGCUAAUACCGGAUAGGAGCUCCUGCUGCAUGGUGGGGGUUGGAAAGUUUCGGCGGUUGGGGAUGGACUCGCGGCUUAUCAGCUUGUUGGUGGGGUAGUGGCUUACCAAGGCUUUGACGGGUAGCCGGCCUGAGAGGGUGACCGGCCAAAUGGGGACUGGGGUACGGCCAAGACUCCUACGGGAGGCAGCGGUGGGGAAUAUUGCACAAUGGGCGGAAGCCUGAUGCAGAAACGCCGCGUGCGGAAGGACGGCCUUCGGGUUGUAAACCGCUUUCGCCUGUAACGAAGCGUGGGUGACGGUAAUGGGAAAGGAAGCACCGGCUAACUACGU